CUAACUGGAGGACCGAACCGACUAAUGUUGAAAAAUUAGCGGAUGACUUGUGGCUGGGGGUGAAAGGCCAAUCAAACCGGGAGAUAGCUGGUUCUCCCCGAAAGCUAUUUAGGUAGCGCCUCGUGAAUUCAUCUCCGGGGGUAGAGCACUGUUUCGGCAAGGGGGUCAUCCCGACUUACCAACCCGAUGCAAACUGCGAAUACCGGAGAAUGUUAUCACGGGAGGACACACGGCGGGUGCGUAACGUCCGUCGUGAA
rnacentral:rRNA from 1 species